CAAAUGACCUCUCUUACCACACCACUAACAUAAGGCCAUUGAUGGCAAAAUAUAUCGAACACAGAAAGUACAGGGCGCUGAACUCAAAACUGUUUCUUGAGCAGAUUAAGUGGUGGGACAUAGUAGAUAACAACCUGGUACAUAAUAUAUCAUCAGAAGCAAUUUGUAAAACUUACAGAUUACAUGUUUGCUACAGAGUAUAAAGCAGGAAUUUAAAGAAGACGAAAAAUCCAGGAUGAAAUCCUGGCUCCUUUAGUGAUAGUGACUUUUUCCUGUUGACUUCUGUGUGGCCGAGUCAAACCAAAAUAUACAGGACUUCACUUUUUCACAGAAGUGUGAAUCUGUUUGCAUCAGCAGAACUGUUCCUGGUUUACAAGAGGAAAAGUGAGAAUCUGGCAGGAGAAUCAACCAGAAAAGAUGUCAAGAAGUACAACAAACAUCUGACAUAUUGAAGGGAAAGAGAAGAGAAUGCAAAGAAAUCCAUGACUAUGUCUCUGAGUGAAUAAUCAGACUAUGAGUUUCUUUGAGGAAACUGAAAAUGAGGAAAUGUCAUCACAGUUUACUUCUUGGUUUGUUCAGAAAAAAAUGCUUUUACUUCUAGUUUUCUGAUGAGGAAUCACACAAAAAAAGAUAUCCUCACGGGGAAAAUGAUCUCACUUCUGCACACUUUGACAUGUUAGUCAUUCCCACUUGGUUCCUCUUGUUCAAUAGCUAAUCCUUGCCCAACUUAGGAAAAAUUAGUUGAAUUAGACUUUAUCAGUCUACCAGAUAGGGGUUUCCAGUAGAGAAAUAGUUCCUGUGUUCAUGUUUCCCUCUGACAUUGUGCCACUCUACUUGUUGCAACCAAUCCACUCAACAGAAACCCAUGGACAGUCUUACAGGAGUUCCUCAAUUGCCACAUUGUGGACAAGUCACAAUGAAUUGACCUACAGCUCCAAACUCAAACUAAAUCACAUCCAACUGCUGUUAAGAUCUUUGUGCAGAAAUGCAUCACGAAGGAGCUUUGAUUUAACAUAGACUUUAAGCAGCUGUCCUUAUGUCAGACUUAUUUCUCCAGCUUCCUUGUUUCUCCUCCGGAUAUAUCAUCUUCUCCAGCACUGGUCAGAUGAAAAAGGAAGCCCAUUAGAAAGAAUUAGGAAGAAUUACACAACUUGCUAGUAAAGUAACGAGGAUCACUCAAUAGCAGAAUUAAAGAAUGCUGUGCUCUGCAAGCCUUGCCUGCUCAUCUGUGCAUGCUCUACUGAGGGCUCAACAUGAGAAUCAGGAGCAAGACCACCAGUGCUGCAAGAAGGAGCAGGAUUGGGCCCCAGUGAGGUCACCUUUUCACAAGAGUGGGAGCACUAUCAGGAAGAGCACCAAAUCACGCUUUUCAGAUCUAUCUCAUGUGCUCAUCUUGUCUCUUUUAGAAACCCAGGAAAGUCAUUUCUUUCCCCAGAUUUAGUCAUUACCUUCCUCAUUUUACAGCACUUUUACAGUUCAUGUUAGCCCAGAUACUGUGUUGCAAAGUGGAAUAGCAAAAGCAACAGAUCUUCAGUUUGAAAUGCUUCAAUAACAUUUUCUCUGAGUGCUUGACUCUUGUCAGGCCAAAUCCCUUCCUACACAGAGCUCAGACCAGAGUAACUGUAGGAAACAUCAUUUUUGUUUUUUCUGCCACCUUGUCUUGCUUGAUUCAGAUUAGCAAAAGUGUGCAUAAAAGGUCCCUCUUCAAGGCACAUCCACUGGGCAGGGAGCAGCACUCUUCACGCAUUGGGUACUGGUGAGUUCAGGGGGACUACAUGGCCAUCCUGUCCUGAGCUGCAGGCAGUGCGUGAGGGUCAUAUUUCUCCAUCAAAACUGGGGCACCACACAAGCUUCAUGGGGUGCCUGUAAAACACAGGGACUCUAAAGCCUUGGAAGCUGCCCAGAGACAGCCCCCAAAUCCCUAGUGUUUCAUGGCAAAGCAGUGAGGUAGAGCACAUCCAGCAGAAAAGCACCUCAAAGUCAGGCGUGCUGGAGGUUUCAUAAACUCCUGAAGACCCUGUAGAUAAGAAAGACAUGUAUUGCUCCAGACUUUAUUUCAUAACAUUUGUCUUGUCUGGAGUUAAGUCUUAACACUAGAUUAUAUCACUAGGUAGGACUAACUUUACUCUUAUCUUCAAAUAAAUGCUGCAGUGU
ensembl:lncRNA